rfam:Aedes albopictus isolate Foshan contig145576, whole genome shotgun sequence.
AGCUCCGUAGCUUGGAGGAAAAAAGCGCUCGUCUAGCGAAUUGGUAGUCGUGGGUUCGAUUCCCACCGGGGCAC